CCGGGAAGGAAGCCCUCCCUCCUACCCUCACCUGCCAAGAGGCUGCAGACAUCCGCGGGGAUGCCGGGAGCGUCGGACAUGGAGAGCGGACUAGAGCCCAACCAGCCGCUGCCAAUGUCCCACUGGCUGCAGCUGCCGAAAUCCAGCCGUGGAACUUGAGGAAAUCAUUGGAGCAGUGAGAACAGGCCCGUCCGUGUUGGUGUCUGCUAGCACAGGUGUGUGUGCAGCGGCAAAAAGAGAUGCCGUUGCUACGCAACACAGCUGGGCUGCUAAAAGGACCAACUUUGCUGGAGUGUUGUUUAUGGGGCAGCUUUUUUUGUAUGUUUUUCCCACAAAUCCCUAGUUGUAUGUAUUUGGAGCGCAUUGGUGAUGUAAUGUAUUUAGUGUAGAAAUAGUCAAAGUAAACUCUUAGCAUGUGUUUCUGUGCCCUGGAUGGUUUUGGCUGUAUCUAUGUUAUUGCUGCAGAAAGUGUUUGUGUUAGAGCUGUGGUUAUGUUAGCACAUCUGUAUAUCAUACCAGCAUAGGAAAAACACCAAGUAAAAGAAGUUCCAUUUAUGAAAUUUCAGCUUUAUACCAGUGUAAUUAUGUUAACACUUGUGGCAGAGCUGGCAGUAGGCUGUAUCAGUCAGUAUUAAACAGUUUCCUACUUCUGCCUGGUGUGGCUGUGUCUGCUGAAGUCUGCAGUGUAGAUGUGGUGUUAGAUUAUAUUGUUCUCCUGACCUCUCACAUCUCUUUUAAUCACAUGGAGCAACUAAUUUCAAAUACAUCUGUGUUUUCAAAGCAUUGCAGCUUUAUUACCUGACUUUAUGGCCAGCCUGGCUGAAACUCAAGCAGUGAACUAACUGACCUGUAUAAUGUUGUGUAAUGGUUUUUAUGUUGGUUAUCUAAUUUCAAUUCAACUAUAAUAAACAUGCACAGGCAUCUGGGUGCAUAUGUGUAUAAAUAGA